UACGAAGGGGGCUAGCGCUUGUUCGGAAUCACUGGGCGUAAAGCGCACGUAGGCGGAUCUUUAAGUCAGGGGUGAAAUCCCGAGGCUCAACCUCGGAACUGCCUUUGAUACUGGGGAUCUCGAGUCCGGGAGAGGUGAGUGGAACUGCGAGUGUAGAGGUGAAAUUCGUAGAUAUUCGCAAGAACACCAGUGGCGAAGGCGGCUCACUGGCCCGGAACUGACGCUGAGGUGCGAAAGCGUGGGGAGCAACAGG
rnacentral:rRNA from 1 species